AAGUAUUCAUAGACAACACCAGAUGCUCACAAGAAUAGAGUCAAAUAAUCACAUAUAAUACCGAAGAUAAGGACAGAGUUACCCUGCUUCUUCGCGACCGAAGAAGAUCGGCCUUCAAACAACAGAGAAACCCUAGGUAUCAAACCCUAGGUGUAACCUUGGAAAACCUUACUGAAAUGUGGUUAGGAACGUCGGAGAGGAACCCAAAACGUCCACUGAGUGAGGAUCGAGCCACCGGAUGGCAGUAAAACAUUAGGUUAAACUACCAGAAAACCCUAGAAGCCGAUAGGUCACCCAAAAAUCAACCAAAAAUCAUCAUAAAACCUUCCAGAACGUUCAGGAGAAGAAAAUACACUCUGAUAUCACGAUGAAAGACUCAGAAAGGUGUCCGAUAGGUCGGAAUCUUCAUCGACCGUGAGGUCUCAGAAACACCCCCAAAACCUCGAAACAGACUUCAUCCAAGACAACGAAGUACAUAGAAACAUAGUCGGAUCGUCAUCGAGGCUCUUAUACCAUGUAAACAUUCAUAAUAGACCGAGAAAUCAUUUUCAUCCAAGACAAAGAAGUACAUAGAAACAUAGUCGGAUCGUCGUCGAGGCUCUGAUACCAAGUAAACAUUCAUAUUAGACCGAGAAAUCAUAGAAAAUCUAGAGAGAGAAAGUAGAUAGAAGGCGGAGAUUUAGAAUUCUCUUGAAGGUGAGAGAACAGAAAAUGAAUGGAAGAAAAUGAG
rnacentral:lncRNA from 1 species